rnacentral:pre_miRNA from 1 species
CCGCACAUAAUUCGGGUUUCGAGACGAUGAAACCGUAUGUACAAUUGGUUCGUUGUCGACGAAACCUGCAAAAUGUGCGG